AAAAGAUGUAAAUCUCCAAAAUGCAGAAGUACAGCAAAAUAACAAAUAUGUAUUAAUUUGGACUAGAAUGAUGCAUCCCAUUUGAUACAUGAAGCUGUAGAUUACUCAUGUAAUGGAGACCCAUUAGCAUACCACACCCCUAAUAUUAUAAAGAGUCUUGACAUGUGUUCUAUGGGUUUGCAUGCAUUUACAUUACUAUUUAUUAACACAUUUACUAAGGGACAGUACUACAGGGUAUUAGAAUGACAUUACAUUUUUCUGUGUUAGGGAGGCGUAAACCACCAGCAACACUCUCAAAACCAGACCGGCCUGAUGAAUAUAGUGCUACUGCAUCUCCACGGCCAGUGAGGGUUCCUUUGCCAGUACCUCCAGAGUUGCUUGAAUUAUCUACAAGCAAGACCACAUCGCCUUUGAGACCAGUGCAGGAAACCGUGUUCUGUCUGUCCCUCCUCCCAGUGACCUCUGCACAGUCUACAGCCUCUACUCCUCCCUCAGGACCCCCCGCAGUUGCUGGCCAGUCUUUCUCUGGAUUCCCUGCAGCCACUACUGGGUACCCCUCAACUCAGUUGGAGGAGAAGCAUGCUGUUCCACCAAUGCCAAGCUAUGAGCAGGAUGUGAUAAGAUGGCACUGCUCUCAACAGCAGAGAAUCUGGAUGAAAACAGAAAUGGAAGCCUUGGGACUGUGGCCAGGUUCUAGACCGGUGAGACAUCCAAUGAACAUGAUCUCUUUGUGGCGUUACCCACCUCAGCCUGAGCUUAUUGAUGCUGUCUAUGAGCUGCCAUCACCGAAAUACUUUCAACUUCAUCCAUUCUUCAUUUGGAAACCAGAGCACACCAUUAUGGAAAGAGUCCGCAACAACUACACUCUGCCAUGUCUGUACGGCUGUCCGAAUCCCCACGUUGUCUCAUCAGGAGUUGGACGACCCCGUGUCAUUAUUGGUACAAGCAGCCAGUACUACAUACUGGCCUCUCGGCUCAGCUGUAAAGGCUGUAAAAAGUACUGGUUUGCAGACAAACCCCAAUGGAUGGACAUGCUGUCGAGUCGGUUCUCAGUCAUUCUGAGACACAGCAAAGUCUCCCAAUGA
rnacentral:lncRNA from 1 species